AUUGAACGCUGGCGGCAGGCCUAACACAUGCAAGUAGAGCGGAGCGGCGGACGGGUGAGUAAUGCCUAGGAAUCUGCCUGGUAGUGGGGGAUAACGUCCGGAAACGGGAGCUAAUACCGCAUACUACCAGAUAAGCCUAGGGCGGAUUAGCUAGUUGGGGGGGUAAAGGCCUACAAAGGAGACGAUCCGUAACUGGUGUGAGAGGAUGAUCAGUCACACGGGAACUGGUACACGGUCUAGACGCCUACGGUAGGCAGCAGUGGGGAAUAUUGGACAAUGGUCGAAAGCCUGAUCCAGCCAUGCCGCGUGUGUUAAGAAGGUCUUCGGAUUGUAAAGCACUUUAAGUUGGGAGGCGUUACCAACAGAAUAAGCACCGGCUAACUUCGUGCCAGCAGCCGCGGUAAUUC
rnacentral:rRNA from 1 species